rnacentral:lncRNA from 1 species
AUGUUCUCCUCUCUUUCUACAUUUCAUCAUUCUCUUGACACCGACUCAUUUUAUUUCACUGAUCCCUCAGUUGAGUUGUUUCCAAGUUCUAAUGCAGAUAACUCUAAUAACCUCAAUACUCCUCUUCCCUCACCCGCUCCUAAUGAACUUGUUCCAGAUGUUGAGCUCAAUACUCGUCCGCCCUCACCUGCUCCUACUGAACCUGUUCCAGAUGUUGAUAUUGUACCUGCAUCUCGCCAUUCCACCCGAGCAACAAGCUAUGGCUGA